rnacentral:rRNA from 1 species
AUCAUAGCUAGCAAUAGACUUGUAUCGGAGGUGCUGCAGUGGUUGUCGUCAGCUCGUGCCGUGAGGUGUCGGCUUAAGUGCCAUAACGAGCGCAACCCUUGUCGUUAGUUACCAUCAAGUAAAGUUGGGGACUCUAGCGAGACUGCCACCGUAAGGUGUGAGGAAGGGGGGGAUGACGUCAAAUCAGCACGGCCCUUACGUCCGGGGCGACACACGUGUUACAAUGGUAGGUACAGAGGGCCGCUAUCCAGUGAUGGAGUGCCAAUCUCAAAAACCUAUCUCAGUUCGGAUCGGAGUCUGCAACUCGACUCCGUGAAGUUGGAUUCGCUAGUAAUCGCGCAUCAGCCAUGGCGCGGUGAAUACGUUCCCGGGCCUU